rnacentral:lncRNA from 1 species
CUGUCUCUUGAGUCUUCCCCCUGGUCAUAAAGUAUUUAGGAGCCCAGGGUCUUAGGCUUGGACCCAUCUGAUUUCAAGUCCCCCUGGCCCUAUCAUCCUGCAGCUGUCGUGGCUUCUCACUGCCACAAGGUGUCACUAUGAGCCUGGUCCUGGGGCAGCAGAUAACAGUAAGGUCCACAGAUGCUCUAUGCUUGGAUUCCUGAGAUCUUGGGCCCUGCCAUCACCCACUCCAGUCCUGGUGUCUGUGUCUCACAGAGGAUGCCUCCUCUAGUAGAUCCUCAAAAACAAAGCAUCUGGGCUGUCGAGACAGUUUGGUGGGCAGAUGCACCUUAGUGCAGGCCUGAUGACCUAAGCUCAGUGCCCACACAAAGUAACAGGAGAGGACUGACUCCUUAGUUAUGACCUUUACAUGUGCCUGCACGCACAGGCACACGCACAUGCACACACACACAGGCACAGGCACAGAGGCACACACACACACACACACACACACACACACGCAUGCACGCACAGAGGCACAUACACAUGCACACAACACACACAGGCACAGGCACAGGCACACAUGCACACCACAUGCACAAAUACCUGUACACACUCUCACACAUGCAUCCACACAACUAAACAGAUAAAAUAUUAAAAAGAA